rnacentral:rRNA from 1 species
CCUACGGGAGGCAGCAGUGGGGAAUAUUGGACAAUGGGCGAAAGCCUGAUCCAGCAAUGCCGCGUGAGUGAAGAAGGCCUUCGGGUUGUAAAGCUCUUUUACCCGGGAAGAUAAUGACUGUACCGGGAGAAUAAGCCCCGGCUAACUCCGUGCCAGCAGCCGCGGUAAUACGGAGGGGGCUAGCGUUGUUCGGAAUUACUGGGCGUAAAGCGUACGUAGGCGGCUUUGUAAGUCAGAGGUGAAAGCCCACGACUCAAUCGUGGAACUGCCUUUGAGACUGCUUCGCUUGAAGAUGGGAGAGGUUAGUGGAAUUCCGAGUGUAGAGGUGAAAUUCGUAGAUAUUCGGAAGAACACCAGUGGCGAAGGCGGCUAACUGGACCAUUCUUGACGCUGAGGUACGAAAGCGUGGGGAGCAAACAGGAUUAGAUACCCUGGUAGUCCACGCCGUAAACGAUGAUAACUAGCUGUCGGGGCUCUUGGAGCUUCGGUGGCGCAGCUACGACAUUAAGUUAUCCGUCCGUCGGGUAGGUACGGCCGCGAACGGUUAAACGUAACAAUAGAAGUUAGUACGGCGUGAGACGUGCCGACGGACGACGACGAGGGAGUAGG